UGGGGAAUUUUGGACAAUGGGCGCAAGCCUGAUCCAGCCAUGCCGCGUGCGGGAAGAAGGCCUUCGGGUUGUAAACCGCUUUUGUCAGGGAAGAAAUCUUCUGAGUUAAUACCUCGGGAGGAUGACGGUACCUGAAGAAUAAGCUCCGGCUAACUACGUGCCAGCAGCCGCGGUAAUACGUAGGGUGCAAGCGUUAAUCGGAAUUACUGGGCGUAAAGCGUGCGCAGGCGGUUUUGUAAGACAGAGGUGAAAUCCCCGGGCUCAACCUGGGAACUGCCUUUGUGACUGCAAGGCUUGAGUGCGGCAGAGGGGGAUGGAAUUCCGCGUGUAGCAGUGAAAUGCGUAGAUAUGCGGAGGAACACCGAUGGCGAAGGCAAUCCCCUGGGCCUGCACUGACGCUCAUGCACGAAAGCGUGGGGAGC
rnacentral:rRNA from 1 species